GCAAACUUGGUCAUUUAGAGGAAGUAAAAGUCGUAACAAGGUUUCCGUAGGUGAACCUGCGGAAGGAUCAUUAUUGAAUAAACCUGGUGGGUUGUAGCUGGCUCCCAAGAGCAUGUGCACACCUAUCAUCUUUAUCCAUCCACCUGUGCACCCUUUGUAGUCUUGUAGAGAAUGACUGACAAUUGGGCCACUAUUCUAUCGGUCUGUUAACACACCGGAUAUGAGGAGUGCUUGUGUGCAAACAUGGCUCUCUGGACAAGAAUAGUAGGCGGUCUAUAGUUGUUUUCUCAAGUCUAUGUGGUUUCAUACACACCUAUAAUAUUUUUAAGAAUGUAAUAAAAGGGCCCAAGGGCUUUAAUAAAAUCAUACAACUUUCAGCAACGGAUCUCUUGGCUCUCGCAUCGAUGAAGAACGCAGC
rnacentral:misc_RNA from 1 species